CUUAAGCAGGAGUUCACGUUAGGCUAUCUCUCAGGCGCUGGGAUGUGCCUCCUGCCUGGGAGCACACAGCUAAUAAGCUAAUUAAAACAAACCUAGUUAAUUUUGUAUGACUUGGUAUAAUUAAGUAAAUAUGUAUUAAUGAAUUAAGGGCCUUGUACAAAAAAUAAGAUGUAAGAAAGGUAAACUGAUGCUGACUGAGAGAGCACCAGCAUUGACUUAAUGAGCAAUGCCUGCUUGGAGUAGACAGUUUACAUGAAUUCUGUCUCAGACGACAUCUUUGUUGUGGUCACAGGGAAAAAUGCAACAGUCGUCAUUUACACAGUUAUAGUUUUCACCAGAGCCGUCUAAUCAGAGUCGCGACAACGGAAGUCCAAAAUGCAGACUCCGGAUUGUUCCCGGAAGUUCCUGGCGCGCAAUUCGAAUCCAUUAUUCAGAGCCACAGAAGUGCGAUUUUAGGUAAGUAGUAGUCAAUGAAUGUAUCGAUUUACAAUAUGGCAGACCGACAUGCCUAUGCAGUUGCUCUAUUUAGUGAGUGAAUACGUUUUUUUAAAUCAUAAAUAAAUCAUAAAUCAUAAUCCACUACAAUGCUUUUAAUGCGCACUUGGAUCUGUUUCAGAUGUGCUGAUAAUAUACAAUCUGAUUCUUUAAACGUCUUACCCUUCCUAAGUGCAACACCAGACGGUCCGUUGAUCCAUUCUGCUGCUACUCUAAUGCGCUGCUGCUCACUUCCGGGAACUAUUGAGGGGCUCCAUGAUCCGACCGCUGGAGGAAAAAAAAAAAGUCCAUUGGAGUGAACGGAGGUGUCGCGACUCUAAUAAGACGGCUCUGGUUUACAUCAAUGAAUGGUGCAGAGGAGCUAUAUGCACGUAUCAACGACAGGCUGGCGGCCGAACUGACCGGCGUGGUUUGGCCACCAGCCAGCACACCUCUUUUUUGGAAAACCAUUCAGGAGGAAUUUGCACCUGUAAAUCAAGUUGUUUUUUUGUUUUUUCCCCAUGUGCCACAGUUUGAACUGUUAGGUUUAUUUAAAUGCAUGGAACCUCAAACCCCUAAUUGAUAAGUGGGAUCUUUUUGGCAAACCACACGCCAGAAUCUACAGAAUCUAUUGAAGGCUUAAUAUCACACAGUAGCUCUACUUUGUCACUUCUGUCUUGUUCCGCUGCAGAUAGUUACUCUGCCUGAAGCAGGCUGUCUGCAGCAGCCUAUAUUAAUGUUAUUGAUCAUUGUCAACUUUUGUGCUUCCGCCAGCCCUCAGAUCUCACUGUAGUAUGGUAUUUCUUUUCUUUUUUUUCCACCCUCACUAGUAAAGGUUUCUUUUUUCAUUAGUCCCUCUCCCUGUUCUUUUCCCCCAAUAACCUGUCUCCUUUAUUGCACACAGUCCUUAGAAAGUGACAACUUGGGAAACUGAAUCAAAGUUUCAAUAAAGCCUGGACUGCUGUGGGCUUUGACAAGUGAGGUGGCUGAAGUGGAACAGUACAGCCAGAGACUGAAGGAGGACAUAUCGGUUCCAGAGAGAUAAAUAGUUCAUGAAUCUGUUGACUUCGCCAUUUUAUUACUUUUGUCUCCGAAUUUUCCGCCUGCCUGCAGCUCUUUUUGCCCACGAAUUAUUCAUCGUGCGCCCCACAGGCCCCAGCUGUCAAUCUCCGGAUCUGGAGUUGGUGGGGAAGAUGGGAGUUGUACGUUUUGUCAUGAGCUCAGGUGCUUGCAUAGUUGCCAGGAUCUUUAUAACCCUAUAACAGCUACCACAAUACCAGACAAUCAUCUCAGCUUUACUUAGAAGAAAGGCAAAGCUGUGGCAGUGAAGUCUGUGAAGCUAGACAAGCCUGCUUCUUACCUAAUUUUUUUUCUUACCUUUUUUUUCCCCACUUAGAUGAUUUUGACCUUUUGUUUCUGUUCUGUUUUUAAACAGAUCCAGGUGGUGUUGUCAGGAUAAUGUAUGCUAUGCUGCAGCCCUUUUGCACAACAGCCAGUCUCACAUGCUGACCACUAGGGGCCUAACCUGAAGGUGGCAGAGCAGCUGGCCUACUACGUCCAUGUGACAGGGACGGUAAUCACAGAGGAGACAUUUGAUGUGGCCGUGCAGUUUGGCACAGUGCAGGGCGAGCUCACCCGGUGCCGUGCAGGAUGACCUGUUUUUCGUGCUGCCCCCUUGGUUGCCCCACGACACCUACUGGGAAAAGAGCAUCAAGGACAACUACACCGCCAACAUGUGCUAAUACCUCGCCAGCCUCACAGACCAAAGAGCUUCUGAAUUGCCCAGAAAACGAUGGGAUUGAAGGAUGCAGGCUGCAGGCGUCCUACAAGAGAUAGCCUUCUGGAGAAGCCGCUGUGACAAUCUGUUGGGCACAUCAGGUAGCAGCUGGAAAAGCCAGAGAAUUGCUGUUGGCAAGCACAGUCGGAAAUGUCCUUCCCAUCUAUGUUGGAACUGUGACACACUGCUGCUGCAUCAGGCUCAUUCGCAGCAUUUGGAUCAACCCCUGCCACACUACAACAGUGAUAGUUGGUCUCUUCUGCAAGAUGAGUAAUGAGAUCAUUCGCCACUGCUCCCAAAGCAUCUCUCUGGACAAGAUCUUUAAGGGCUACGUGAUCUUUGGCAAACAAAGCCCCAGCCAGCGACCGCCAGAAAUGCAGCCGCACUCGCAGAUUUACAAGGAUGUUGACAAUCAGGAGCUGGCGAUUCUUCUCCAGACGUGUUCCUGAUGUGCAGGCUGUUGGACAAUAGCUUUCAGCCUCAUCACACAACACCUUGCCUUCAUAAGCUUGCCUGUUGGGAGGAGGGUCAGCAGAGGGUCUUGCCAUGCUUUGGUGGGCGCCAGGGGCCAGAGGUGAUCCGCUGCCUUCUGAAGAUUCAUUGCAACGCUGCCUAAAGAUUCUGCACUUUGUUGGCACAGGCAUCCUUGACGUCAAAACACCACCUGGCUCAAUGAUUGCAACAGGUGACUCAGACACUCAAGCAGCUGGUGUUGGCCUGUGGCCAGAUGUUCCACGUUUAGGGGGAGCUGGUAAGGAGGCCUGGACCGACAGAGACUUCAAACAACACAGCAACGCACGAAAAAGCCAAUAGUGUUGAGGUAGAGAGAGCUGCACCAGACUGUCAUGCUGCACUGUUCACCGUUCCCUUGGCGCAGCACUGCAGUGAGCGGCAAACCAAGUUCACUCAGCAGCUGGCGCCUGCCUUAAAACACUUACAAGACAACGCAGAUGGGAAAUGACACCCGUGUCCAGAAUGUAACGUCAUGUGAUGGUUGACCACGGAUUCCACAGCUCAAAUGACAACUGUUGUCAUUGAGCUUUUUCAGGAUCAGGACACGUGUGAGGUGCUGGAUGGGGAGCGGCUAGUGUGGCUCCGGCAGGUGUUGAUUGACAGCUACGUCAUGUUAAGGAACACAAGAAGUUCAAAAAACAGCUUUGUCGUCUCUUCCUCAACAAGAAAACCAGAUCACAGAAAGUGGAGUGUGGCACAGAAGAUUUCUUCAACAACUGAACACUUCAAGAGGAUCAUCCCUUUCAGCUAUGAGACACAGGUGCUGGUACUGUAGCAGACUUGUGAUGAGUUUCACUGCUUCUUUGACCAAACCAGUGAAGAAGAUCACAUCUCUGGACCCUGGACGAAGUUGGCUGACUACAUCUGGGGGAUCUUGGGAGCAGCCAGGAAGGAGCUCGCCACAAAACAGCUCCUGGCAAAGAUCUUGUUCAGCCUCUACUCCCUGGCGGUGUGCUAGCUGUCUAAACAGGACAACUAUGAUGUUGGCCUGUGUGCCCUCACCUCUCCGCUCUGCUGUGCCAGAAAGAAGCUGUGCUCUUCUCACAGUGCGCCUGAUGAAGAGAAACCGCCAGUGGCUCUGAAGGACAUGGACGUUGCCAAGCAGACUUGUACUGACCUGCCGCCGUUCUGUGGGAUCAGCCAGGACGUGUUCCCUGCGGUGGAAACACCGAUUAUACAUUAAUGCAAGAUGAGGAACCAGAUGAGAAGUGGAUUUUGUGGAACUAUAGGGACACUAUGGUUGUUACCUCCCCAUCAUGGAUGACAACAGGGUUCUUACACUGUGAAUGGGGCAACAGACCAUAUGGGAGGCAGUCUGUCCACUCAGGUGUUCAUUCUGCACAAGGAAAAGCUUUUCCCUCCCACAGGCUGUGAAUGUGAACGUACACUUUUACAGAGACCCACUCUCACACAACAGCCCCAUUCCCUUCACAAAGGGAAUUGUGCAAUCUCAAUAUUCAGUCUCCAAUCACAGUGUGGCUGCGUCCCAUCUGAGGUCCAGUUGUGCCAGGGGGAAGUUACCAAAAAGUACAGCAAGCAUGAAUUUAAACGAGUAAAGGUUGACUGAGCACCUAGCCACACAGGGCCAGAGGGGGCAUUACGUUGACCUAAGCAGAAUCUUACGUUAAGACCCCCACCCCCUAGGUGCCUCAAAUACCUACUUGACACAUGGGAGGAGGAGGCCAAGAACAGGUGACCGUGUUCCAUAGAGAGUGUGACUAGUUCCUGUCCGUCAUUGAACAGAAGAUGGAGGCUGACCAGCAGCUGGAGGAUAGGAGCUGUAAAACAGCAAAAACAAAAUUUGACCCCACCCGGCUACCAGAGAUGUCACGUGUACGGAUGAAGGGUCUGAGGGAGGAGGACAAGGAAGGGAUCCAUCCACUAUCUACACCGCUCGUCCUGUUAAGGGUACAAACUCCACACCGAAGGAACCCGGUCGAACCCAUAAUCGUCUUGCUAUGAGGCGACAGUGCAAGCCACUGCUCCACCGUGCCACACCAAGGAAGGGAUGUGGAAGGGGAAUGAGGAGUUCGAAAAAAGAGAUGCACAGAGAAUGAGAGGACGGAGAAGAAGAAGAGACAGCAGCUGAGUUCAAGUGCUGUGGUGUCUUUGAGUUGCUGCUCAGCUUCCAAAUGCCAAGUCAACUUGGAUGAGUCCAAGGCGAUCCGUAAGAAAACACAGAACGCUCACAAACACGAUGUUCACAUCCUAUUUGAUUUUAUAUAAGCCAGCGGAACAAAUCGUUUUUCUUUUUCAAAGGCCUGGGACACACUUGGGGCCCCCAGAACACAUUUCCCUGGGAAAUCCCCAAUGUUGAACUCUGUAGAAGUUGAGCCUUUGCACGCAAACACUGCUGCUUCAUUCACACCGUUCUUUUCUGCGUCGUAGCAAUUAACAGGGACAACACCACUGUAGAGCUGGAUAAGCUGCCCAACUUCCAUCCACUUGUUUCAGGUGGCACGUUUGAGACAGGAACCUUUGCUUUGCCGCGCGGAUUGUGUUUGUUAUUGGAGGUUUUUAUUGAUUUGCCGCUGCAGUGAGAAUAUUCCUCCCACUAGUGACAAUAAAGUUAAAGUGAAGUCAAGUGGUUGAGAGAGGCAGCUUGCGUGUGCUGGUGUUUUUCAUCAGGCUCCUCCUGCUGUGUACUGAAAGUUUUCAAGGUUUCGCUCAAGUAUGACACUGACAGCUGAGAAACAACUGUAUGCUUUCCGUGUGUUUAUAUUACACCCUGGCGAUGAUGAAUAUGUGUCUUCUCCCUUUUUCUGACAACUGAGGAUCUAUUCAUGGCUGACUCACUGAAGAGAGCAGAGAGCAAUUUCUUCUCUGUCAUUUCUCCCCUGCCCUCUCCUCUCCUUUUCAUUACACCAUCCAUCCAUUUCUCCCUUCACCCCUGAAUUCCCAGCCUUUGCCCUUCCUCCCUUUCACUCCCUCUCUCUAAGGGAAUUUGAAGAAAAGCUGCAAUGAGCUGCAGAAGCUGUUGAUGGUGUACUCUGCGUCCGAGCCGCGUCUCCUUGUGCCUCACCUCGGUCAUCGUUAACAACCUCAGUACUUGCUUUGUGGAGCCCGCCCGCUCUCUGCCGCUCUACAAGCUCUCACUGGAAAACAGAAUCUCUCUAAACCCCAACACAUAGUUACUGUUAGGUUGUCAAGAAUUCACUGGCAGGACUCCUCUGAUCUGUGCUCCGUCUCCCGGGGACCGUACGGGGGCCCUGCUGCAUCUGGCUUUCUCUGUCCGGGGCCGGGGACAGGCCCCAAUCAGCAUGAGCAUGAUCGAAGAGGGCGUCAAUAACAGUACAACACCAACUGCUCUGUCUUUCUUCCCAUUUUUGUUUCUGCUCCUUUGCCGUGUUUUUUUUUUUUUCUUUUUUUCAGGCUCAAGUGUCAUUUGUUGUUGACAAAGUGCACAAAAUACUUGAUGAAUAUUUGAUUGAUUUGGUUUAUUCAGAUGAAUCUUUCACUCCCCUUAUCGACCCACGGUCUACCGGCUCUCUCAUGCUCAUCAACUUGAUUUGCAGCUGCUCCUUAUACCAGUGGAGGCCUCACUGUCAGUUUCUAUGGUUUGUUGCCUCUCCGACACGCCUCUCUGUAACUAGGGAAAUGUCACGCUUAUACAUCAAGCAAUUUGUUUGUCUGGGAAAUUCAAUUUUUAUUGUCUUUCCUCUGAUUCACUUUCACCCCUCCAUGUCCCUCUUCUAUUCCUCUGAUGCAUAACAGUUACAAUGCCUUGGGUACGAGUGGCAAAAUCCCAACAGCCAUUUUUAUACUAUACUAUAUUUUUAUGUAUCUUAUUACUUUCUCUUACCAACUGUAUUUUAACAGACUAGUGAUUAUAAAUAAGAUGCUUUGUGCAGAUUUAAUGAAGUGUUGCUGUUGAACGUACCAAGUGUGGGUUUGGUCAUCAUCCCACUAAAACCAAGCCAAAAGCCACUUUUAAAUUCUUUCCAUUUCCUUGCUUGAAAGAAAAAUGGCUAGAUUUAGAAAACAAGUCCAGGCAUGUGCAGUAACCCUUCCUCCACCUCUACACUAUAUCUAGAAACCUGAUUGAUUCAUUAGGUCUCUCAUUAAGCUCAGAUUAAAUCAAAGCUAAAACCUACCUAAGAUAAAGCGCCACAUGUCAGAAAUAAGUCAAGGCCCAAAAUAAAAACCUUCAUUCAUUAAUGUAAAUCAAAUCAUGUACAUGUAUGAAAGAAGUAAAAAUCAUUGCUGCCAUUAUCUCACACUAAAGUCUUACAGUUAAACAGCGGCAGCCAGGAGGUGGACCGCCAUCAGUCCAGUGAGGAUAUUGACGAGUGAAUGUCACCGCGAUGUGGUUGCGGUUAUUGUGGUGGUUACUGAGUAGAAUGAAUGCAUCAGUGUCAGUAAUCUGCGGUCUCUCUGCAACCGUGUCAGAGUGAAGGCCGAUGAGACUGAUGGAUAAUGACCAUCUAGCUGAAGUGCGUGAGACUGAACAGUCCUUACGGCCUUUGUUAGAAUGUCUGUUUCUGUCUUUGCUGUUCCACUUGCAUUUGAAAGUCUGUUCAAAUCCUCUUCUUCAUGCGCGCCCCCCUCAGUGAGUGAGAAGCUGCUGAGUUGGGACGCCCUGGAGUCGUCAUUGCUGGGGUCAACUGCUGUGUGGAGGUCCUGUCACAGGUGACUGGGACAGACGUCUACCCAGCCCCUCUUCAAGUGCAACACUUGUACACGUUCAGACACACAUUUGUCUGCCACAUCAUGUACCUUGUAUAGGCAUGAUGUCAUUUCUAUAUUUGUGUAAUGCAACAGUCCGUCCCUCUUCAUAUCAACUCCAACUCUGCUGCAACAUAAAUACCCACUGCAAAGGUGCUAUAUUUAAAGUGUACACAGCUUUACACAAAUUAACCAAUGUAUGUAUCUGACAUAAAAAAAAAAAAACCUUUGCUGAGAAAGCGCACUGCGGCUGCAUUCAGCCGAAAGAGGCCACUACAACUCCCUAAUGAAGACCCUCAAGGAGGCGGAGUGCUAGCACCACCACGUGGGCAAUCGGAUUACAUUAGCCUGGGAAAUACAGACACAGUGGCACCCUGAUUAACUCUGACAGGAACACUAAGUCCUUGCUUUUUUUCAUUUAAUCACUUACACUUAUCCACACGAGCGCUCGUGUCCACUAACUACAUUUCUAAGCAACCACUCUGAAAAGAUUUAAGGCUGGUGGUAUUGAGCAGAUGGAACAGUUUCUCAUUUUCAGUCGUCAGGACUUUUUUGUUUUCACUUGGUCCAGCUACAAUGAAAUGAAGUUGUGAAGCCAUAUUGAGCUCCAAAACCUCUAAAAAUGUCUAAUGUACAACCAAAAUAUUGAGAUGGAAGCAUGAUAUCUAGUUAUUGAUUUUAAUUUAUUACAUAUUUAUUUUGACUUAUUUGUACCAGAAUGAAAUAAAUGAUAAAAUAUGCAGAGCUCUUCAGUCAUUGAGGUGCAAUGAUGAAUAAAUUA